rnacentral:rRNA from 1 species
GCCAGCAGCCAUAUCACCCGUAACUCACAACCCACUGAAGCUAAGCAGGUGUGAGCCAGGUCAGUACCUGGAUGGGAGACCUCCUGGGAAAAACUAAGGUUGCUGCUGGAA